UAGGGAAGUAAUAAGAGUCUACAACUCUGGAGAUACCAUCAUCACCAUGAGUGUUUCACCUUGAACUCUAGAUAAAGCAAUUACAGUCAUAUUUUCUUUACCUUGUUUGUAUUGAACUUCAAAAUCAAAGAGCAGAAAUUUGGAUAAUCAUACGAUUUGAGAAUCAAUGUGUAACUUUUUCUCUAAUAAAGACUUCAAUGCCUUCUGGUAUGUUUUGAUAGUAAAAUGCUGGCUGAAAAGAUAAUGUGACAAUUUGAUCACAAAAAUACCAAAAAUAGGAUUUCCCUUUCAUAAACAGAAAAUGAGAUUAAAUAUAUGUGUGUGCUUAAAAACUCCUAUAGUGUAGUAAUUAU
rnacentral:lncRNA from 1 species